AUUGAACGCUGGCGGCAGGCCUAACACAUGCAAGUCGAACGGUAACAGGGAUCAGCUUGCUGAUUCGCUGACGAGUGGCGGACGGGUGAGUAAUGUCUGGGAAACUGCCUGAUGGUGGGGGAUAACUACUGGAAACGGUAGCUAAUACCGCAUAACGUCGCAAGACCAAAGAGGGGGACCUUCGGGCCUCUUGCCAUCGGAUGUGCCCAGAUGGGAUUAGCUAGUAGGUGGGGUAACGGCUCACCUAGGCGACGAUCCCUAGCUGGUCUGAGAGGAUGACCAGCCACACUGGAACUGAGACACGGUCCAGACUCCUACGGGAGGCAGCAGUGGGGAAUAUUGCACAAUGGGCGCAAGCCUGAUGCAGCCAUGCCGCGUGUAUGAAGAAGGCCUUCGGGUUGUAAAGUACUUUCAGCGGGGAGGAAGGGAGUAAAGUUAAUACCUUUGCUCAUUGACGUUACCCGCAGAAGAAGCACCGGCUAACUCCGUG
rnacentral:rRNA from 1 species